rnacentral:lncRNA from 1 species
CGGAAGGGAUGGUCUGUGAAGCAUUCUACGCUUCAAGGAGACUGGAAUGCAUGGAUUCAACUGCGUCUUUAAGUUUUCACUUAGAAGUUGAACAAAAGAAUUGCAACAUCUGUUCAUACAACUUUGUAUGACCAGUGUUUCCUGUUUCCAAGCGCAACCAGAAUAGGUAACACAGCACAUACUGAUGAAAUGAAUGUCAGUUAUAUAAACACAGGUUGUGGUUCAGUCAUGAAUGCAUUAAUUGCAGGUGGGACUGGAUUAUGAGAGAGAAUAAAAGUGGAAAGACAAAGAGAUAACCAACAUACUGUUCCAAGAGUAAAACAGAAUCAGUAAACCAUCUCAGGUUAGCGAACAUGCAACUCCACAAAGGGAAGUUUUUGCAUCAUAUACUCAACAAUGUCGAAAAUUCCAACUCGCCCAGACAUUGAAGUCGAACUAUGACGUGGAAUCAUAAAAUAAGAGAUCAACUUCAAAAAAUCUAGCCUAUAACUGCUGCUACUGGUUUCCUGCUUUGUGUCACAACUACACUAAGAUGUAAUUAUGCAGGAGUAGGAGUUGGAUCCGCUGAACCAUUCGCAGCAGGUAGAGGCCUAAGAGCUUUGAGAGGGUUGGAGAUAACGGCAUCAAUUAGACCAUAUUCCUG